CUCAAAUCUUUCUUUCUUUCUUAUUUACUUCCUUCUUCCUUUCUGAAACAAUUGAGAAUACCCUGUGGAUGUGGGUGAAGGAGCAGAACCAUCUAGAGACUCACUCAAGUGGAAGUCACUUCCCACACCUGCCCGAGCAUUCAGGUCUUCUAUCAUAGCUGUGGCCUUGGCUUUUCCUAGAACCAUCAGCUAUGCUGGCUCCUCGCAGUCUCCAUCAUUGUGAGAAUUCACCUGCUCUGCCUGUGGUCCCAGGAGUCAACACAAGUCAUCAGGCUUGGUGACAAGUACCUUAACCCACUGAGCCAUCUCACCAACCCUUCCAGUGGAAUCUUACUCAGCCAUAAAGAGAGAUGGAGCCAUUGUCUCUGGUGCCAGGCCCUCUGUGGAUCAUCUCACAGCAUGGAGAACCUGCUCCAACCCCUGACGCAGAAAGCUACUCCCUAACCAAAUAUUCAGGCUAACAGCUUCCUAACACCUGGAAUUAAUGAUCAGAAAGGUAAUACCUCACUGCCUACAGCAAACCGAGCCGCCAAUUAUUCUUCAUUGUCUAGCGAGAUUUAAGCUACAAAAAUAGGUUAAGCCAUUCUGAGAAUAUGCUGUGCUUAUAAAACUGUCUAGGGAGAAUAAAUUAAUGAGACUAUGUCUGGGGAAAGGUGCAUGUUUUAAUUAAGCCAUUUCUCUCUAAGUCCUGCAUGUGUGUGUCUGCUUGUUUCCUUGAGUAUUUCCAAAACAUGUUAGAGAAAAGAAACUAAAGAUGAAUAUAUGUUCUUACUGAUUUGUCUGCUGGAAAUUUCUUCAACUAAUUUUUGAAGAAAACUGCAUUGGCAAAAUAUUCCAACAGUACAGAGAAGCAGCCAUGGAAAAUAAUCCUCUCUACUACCCCGUCCUCCAGACACUUUUAAUAAAGCAUUUUAACUCUAA